rnacentral:sRNA from 1 species
UGCAUGGUGUUGCGAACAGA